rfam:Cyanobacterium stanieri PCC 7202, complete genome.
GGGUGCGUAGCUCAGCUGGAUAGAGCAACUGCCUUCUAAGCAGUCGGCCACAGGUUCGAAUCCUGUCGCACCCG